ACUGGGCUACCGUAGUCCCGUAGAUACAUGUAGUUCAACUAGGCGCUUCGGUGUUAAAUUACCUAUCAUGGCGUCCUCAGAGCCCCGUGAUUUAGAACAGGUUGUUAGAGAUGGACUAAGUACACUUGUAUUCGGCUUUGGAUACAGGGUGGGUAUAGUGGACGGCUUCAUUAAAAUUAAACAACCAUGUACAGCAGAGGAACUAGCUCAGAAAGUAGGCAUGAAAAGAAGGUACAUAGAAGAAUGGCUAAGUUGUCUGGCGGCCGCAGGAAUUGUCCGAGUUCAUGACGGUGACAGAUUUUCUCUGCCCUACGACGAAGCUAAGUUGAGGUUGCAAGGACACGUUGCUGGCGCCCUUCCAACAUUAAGUGAAUCAAUGCCAUUACUGGAACAAGUCAUUCGUACUGACGGACCAAGAGGCUACAAGUAUACAGAACCAUUCCUAAAAUUUGUGGAGGGAUUCUCAACACCAGCAUCUAUUGAAAAUUGGGUGAAAGCCUCUCUUGUGCCAGUCUUACAACUGAAAGAAAGUAAAACUACAUGGCUGUAAAAAUAUUUUAUCGGAAGCUAAGGCAUUAGAUACUGUAUUUUUUAUGCGAUUCAUUUUAAUAGUGCUGUCAUGUUGUAAAUUUUGAAUUUAUUAACAUGACAGUGCUAUCAUAAUGUAUUGCUUUAAAAAAUUGUUUUUGUAAUAUCUUUUGUAUAGGGGACCAGUUCACGCUAUUAGAUCUAGGCUGUGGGUACGGAAAUCAUGCUAGACGAGUGGCCCAAGUUUAUCCAAAAAGUUCAGUGUAUGGGGUUGAUAUGGACAAAAUUUCCAUAGAUAGAGCAAACGAAGGAACGCAAAAGGACGGUCUCAAAAAUGUCCAAUUUCUGUGUAACGUGGGCGGAAAUCUUCCAGCUGAUUGGACGGAAAAAUUUGAUUUUGUCAUCAUUAACCAAGUUCUCCAUGACGCACCAGGCGUUGACGCCAUCUUGAAGGAAGUCAAGCGUGUCAUAAAAUCGGAUGGAUUCGGGGCCGCUUAUGACCCACCCGUGUCAUCUUAUCCCAAAAACCAGGUCAACCAUAAAUGGGCCCAACAGGCCCUGCCGUUCAGCUUUUUCUCUUGCCUUCCCAUGAGCCUUUCGGAUCCUUCCGAAACAGGCGACGGACUUGGGGUUGGGUGGGGGUACGAAAACCGCAAGGCAAAAAUAGAACAACAUGGCUUCCAUGUCGUCCCGUGCGGCGAUAUUGACAUCGACACGGUUCAAGAUAGAAUCGUCUUUAAAAAAUAAUGUCAUAGAACGGUAAAAAUGUGGCUCAUGAAUAUAUUUUCAUAUUUCAUUCUUUUAUUACCUGUGUACAUUAACUGCGAAGUGUCCCUCAUUAAAUUUUUACAAGAUACAGC
rnacentral:misc_RNA from 1 species